rnacentral:rRNA from 1 species
ACACAAAAGCGCAUGUGCUGUGAGCUCGAUGAGUAGGGCGGGACACGUGGUAUCCUGUCUGAAUAUGGGGGGACCAUCCUCCAAGGCUAAAUACUCCUGACUGACCGAUAGUGAACCAGUACCGUGAGGGAAAGGCGAAAAGAACCCCGGCGAGGGGAGUGAAAAAGAACCUGAAACCGUGUACGUACAAGCAGUGGGAGCACCCUUUGGGGUGUGACUGCGUACCUUUUGUAUAAUGGGUCAGCGACUUAUAUUCUGUAGCAAGGUUAACCGAAUAGGGGAGCCGGAGGGAAACCGAGUCUUAACCGGGCGUUAAGUUGCAGGGUAUAGACCCGAAACCCGGUGAUCUAGCCAUGGGCAGGUUGAAGGUUGGGUAACACUAACUGGAGGACCGAACCGACUAAUGUUGAAAAAUUAGCGGAUGACCUGUGGCUGGGGGUGAAAGGCCAAUCAAACCGGGAGAUAGCUGGUUCUCCCCGAAAGCUAUUUAGGUAGCGCCUCGUGAAUUCAUCUCCGGGGGUAGAGCACUGUUUCGGCUAGGGGGCCAUCCCGGCUUACCAACCCGAUGCAAACUGCGAAUACCGGAGAAUGUUAUCACGGGAGACACACGGCGGGUGCUAACGUCCGUCGUGAAGAGGGAAACAACCCAGACCGCCAGCUAAGGUCCCAAAGUCAUGGUUAAGUGGGAAACGAUGUGGGAAGGCCCAGACAGCCAGGAUGUUGGCUUAGAAGCAGCCAUCAUUUAAAGAAAGCGUAAUAGCUCACUGGUCGAGUCGGCCUGCGCGGAAGAUGUAACGGGGCUAAACCAUGCACCGAAGCUGCGGCAGCGACACUCAGGUGUUGUUGGGUAGGGGAGCGUUCUGUAAGCCUGUGAAGGUGUGUCGUGAGGCAUGCUGGAGGUAUCAGAAGUGCGAAUGCUGACAUAAGUAACGAUAAAGCGGGUGAAAAGCCCGCUCGCCGGAAGACCAAGGGUUCCUGUCCAACGUUAAUCGGGGCAGGGUGAGUCGACCCCUAAGGCGAGGCCGAAAGGCGUAGUCGAUGGGAAACGGGUUAAUAUUCCCGUACUUGGUGUUACUGCGAAGGGGGGACGGAGAAGGCUAUGUUGGCCGGGCGACGGUUGUCCCGGUUUAAGCGUGUAGGUGUGUGUUCCAGGUAAAUCCGGUUCACUUUAACACUGAGGCGUGACGACGAGGCACUACGGUGCUGAAGCAACAAAUGCCCUGCUUCCAGGAAAAGCCUCUAAGCAUCAGGUAACAUCAAAUCGUACCCCAAACCGACACAGGUGGUCAGGUAGAGAAUACCAAGGCGCUUGAGAGAACUCGGGUGAAGGAACUAGGCAAAAUGGUGCCGUAACUUCGGGAGAAGGCACGCUGACACGUAGGUGAAGUGAUUUACUCAUGGAGCUGAAGUCAGUCGAAGAUACCAGCUGGCUGCAACUGUUUAUUAAAAACACAGCACUGUGCAAACACGAAAGUGGACGUAUACGGUGUGACGCCUGCCCGGUGCCGGAAGGUUAAUUGAUGGGGUCAGCGCAAGCGAAGCUCCUGAUCGAAGCCCCGGUAAACGGCGGCCGUAACUAUAACGGUCCUAAGGUAGCGAAAUUCCUUGUCGGGUAAGUUCCGACCUGCACGAAUGGCGUAAUGAUGGCCAGGCUGUCUCCACCCGAGACUCAGUGAAAUUGAACUCGCUGUGAAGAUGCAGUGUACCCGCGGCAAGACGGAAAGACCCCGUGAACCUUUACUAUAGCUUGACACUGAACAUUGAGCCUUGAUGUGUAGGAUAGGUGGGA